rnacentral:misc_RNA from 1 species
AAUUUCUUUCAAAAUAGAAAUGUCUCCCUCAUAAAGAUGGUAGAAAUCCUCAGCAACUUUCCCAUUACUAUGGUCUGCAAUUUUUUCUGGAUGUUCCUUAGUGAAAGUAUCCCAUAUACUUGGUCUCCUGCCAUCUAGUUCCGUUGCUCCUUCAUACUGGUAUGAACUUGAUCCUGCUCCAAACACAAAACCAUCAGGAAAACUACUCCUACUAAAUUUGGUAGAAAGCUGAAGUGUAUUCUUCCCUCCAGCAAGAGCAAGCAAAUAAGCAAGAUUUAAGAGGCAGAGGAGGAGAUAAUAUUGUAUGUUCAUUCUUGACUGGAACAAAGUUUGUUCUAAGCUCCCAAUUUUCCUUAAACAAAUGGGAGGAUGGUACUUGUCUGCUGAUUUCUCAUCCACCUUGCAAAUUUAAACUCUAAUAAUUGAGUUGGGAAAUUAAUAGAUUUCUGGUUGUUGAAAAAGUUGGGCAUCAAAUAGCUACCAAAUGUCAAUAUCUAUCAGUUAGCCUUCAGCUUCAUGUCAUUGGCCAUCCAAUGAACAACUAUUUGAUCAAGAAAAUCAAGAAAUGAUGGUCACCAAGAGAGGAAGAGAACAAGAGAAUCGAGAAAUGAAGAUCAUCAAGAG